UACGAAGGGGGCUAGCGUUACUCGGAUUGACUGGGCGUAAAGGGCGCGUAGGCGGUUUGUACAGUCAGACGUGAAAUUCCUGGGCUCAACCUGGGGGCUGCGUUUGAUACGUGCAGACUUGAGUUCGGAAGAGGGUCGUGGAAUUCCCAGUGUAGAGGUGAAAUUCGUAGAUAUUGGGAAGAACACCAGUGGCGAAGGCGACUUCCUGGCCUGUUCUUGACGCUGAGGCGCGAAAGCUAGGGUAGCAAACGGG
rnacentral:rRNA from 1 species